rnacentral:rRNA from 1 species
CCAAUAGCGUAUAUUAAAGUUGUUGCAGUUAAAAAGCUCGUAGUUGAAUUUCGGGGUUAGUAGGUUGGUCGUGCCACUGGUAUGUACUGGCUUUACUGAUUCCUCCUUCUUGAAGAACUGUAAUGUCAUUAAUUUGGUGUUUCAGGGAAUCAGGACUGUUACUUUGAAAAAAUUAGAGUGUUUAAAGCAGGCUAAUGCCUGAAUACAUUAGCAUGGAAUAAUGAAAUAGGACGUUUGACCCUAUUUUGUUGGUUUCUAGGAUUGACGUAAUGAUUAAUAGGGAUAGUUGGGGGCAUUAGUAUUCAAUUGUCAGAGGUGAAAUUCUUGGAUUUAUUGAAGACUAACUACUGCGAAAGCAUUUGCCAAGGAUGUUUUCAUUAAUCAAGAACGAAAGUUAGGGGAUCGAAGACGAUCAGAUACCGUCGUAGUCUUAACCAUAAACUAUGCCGACUAGGGAUCGGAUGAUGUUAAUUUUUUAAUGACUCAUUCGGCGCCUUACG